rnacentral:lncRNA from 1 species
UUUUAUCCAGCACCGCCCUAUUGGGGAUGUUCUGUCCCAAAUCCAUGGAAUUUGGCAUCUUUAAAUCCUUGUGCGACACCGAGCUCAAACCCUGGUUCUGCAUUAGGGAAACAUUCAAGAGAAGGAAAUAUUAUUCUAAAUUCUAAUAAUGUCGAAGAUGGUUCAAGAGAAAGUGACUGUUCAGAAAGAAAUGCUUUGGUUCCAAAAACAUUGAGGAUUGAUCAUCUUAAUGAAGCUGCAGAAAGUUCUAUAUGGACAACACUUGGGAUUAAAAGUGAAAAAUCAAAUUUCAAUGGUGGAGGACUUUUUCAGGGUUUUCAAUCAAAAAACAUCGAAGAAAGAAAUUACAUUAAUGCUGAUAAAUCUUCUGUCUUGCAAGCCAAUCCUGCUGCCUUGUCAAGGUCUCUCAAAUUCCAAGAGAGCACCUGAAAUUAAAAUAUAUUGUAAAAGAGAAGAACUUACCUUUAACAAGCUUCUAGAUAUGGCUGCCUGCCUUCUUUUUUUUUUUUUUU